rnacentral:rRNA from 1 species
AACGAACGCUGGCGGCAUGCCUAAUACAUGCAAGUCGAACGAGAUCUUCGGAUCUAGUGGCGCACGGGUGCGUAACGCGUGGGAAUCUACCCUUGGGUUCGGAAUAACAGUUAGAAAUGACUGCUAAUACCGGAUGAUGACGUAAGUCCAAAGAUUUAUCGCCCAAGGAUGAGCCCGCGUAAGAUUAGCUAGUUGGUGAGGUAAAGGCUCACCAAGGCUACGAUCUUUAGCUGGUCUGAGAGGAUGAUCAGCCACACUGGGACUGAGACACGGCCCAGACUCCUACGGGAGGCAGCAGUAGGGAAUAUUGGACAAUGGGCGAAAGCCUGAUCCAGCAAUGCCGCGUGAGUGAUGAAGGCCUUAGGGUUGUAAAGCUCUUUUACCCGAGAUGAUAAUGACAGUAUCGGGAGAAUAAGCUCCGGCUAACUCCGUG